GACGAACGCUGGCGGCGUGCUUAACACAUGCAAGUCGAACGCUGAAGCCCAGCUUGCUGGGUGGAUGAGUGGCGAACGGGUGAGUAACACGUGAGUAACCUGCCCCUGACUCUGGGAUAAGCCCGGGAAACUGGGUCUAAUACCGGAUAUGACGCGUGACCGCAUGGUCUGCGCGUGGAAAGUUUUUUCGGUUGGGGGUGGACUCGCGGCCUAUCAGCUUGUUGGUGGGGUAAUGGCCUACCAAGGCGACGACGGGUAGGCGGCCUGGGAGGGCGACCGGCGACACUGGGAGUGGGACACGGCCCAGACUCCGACGGGAGGAAGCAGUGGGGAAUAUUGCACAAUGGGCGCAAGCCUGAGGCAGCGACGCCGCGUGGGGGAUGACGGCCUUCGGGUUGUAAACCUCUUUCAGUAGGGAACAAGCCUCUUCGGGGGUGAGGGUACCUGCAGAAGAAGUACCGGCUAACUACGUGCCAGCAGCCGCCGUAAGAC
rnacentral:rRNA from 1 species